rnacentral:lncRNA from 1 species
CGUGGUAGGUCUGAAACUUGCGGCUUAGGCCCUUUUGUUUAUCCGCAGGCUUCUCUGUAUCCCAUCACGCUGAAUUCCUGGUUGGCUUGUUUAUGAUUUGUCGCCGUGGUCUCUUCGUGAUGUUUUUAUGAGUGGUGUUUCUUACAUCGAAAAAAGGAAGCAUGAUAUGACURUAAGUGGAAGAGUGGUUCUUCAGCAGUAAUAUGGCAGUGGAAAAUUAAGGACCCUCAGGAAGCCUUUUAAAUACAAUGAUAAAGGAAGAAAUGACAAAUGAUACCAGAAAAAAUUUACUAAGUAUAAAGGAACGCUCAUAAGAAAUAAGAAGAGAUUUGAUUCUGGACUAUUUUUUGGUUGGAAAAUCCUAUACCCUGCUGAUAGAGAAACCAGAUUUGAGUUCUUCUUUCUCCUUUCUCAUUUGAAAAGUGCAGUAGUGGCUCCCCAUUCACUUCAGUAAGUAUUGCUUUGAAAAUAAUGAGUUUGCUUAAGAUCUUGUUGAUGCUUUGGCCAUAUUUGAGUUGAGUAUAUUUGCUUAAAGGGUAGUGUGAUACUGUUAAGGAUUUUGAUGGCAUGGUUUCUUCCCUGAAAGGAGUGGAAGCUUGAUUUUUUUCAAAAGCUUAAGAAAUGUGUUA